CUUUGAUGGGAGGAAUGCAGUUGAAAGUGAAGCCUUGCUGCUGCCAUUCAUGGUGCUCCAUAUGUUCUUCAUUUGGGGUGGAGAUGAACAUAGUGUUGGGUGUUGCAUCCUGUUUCAAACUGCAUGCUGGGCUCCUCUGUUUUGGAACAGCUGGUAUUUUCCAGAAACACCAUGCUGCACUGAUGUGUGAAGGGAUCUCUGUGUAUCCCUCCUUGUGCCACAGGUACUGUUGCAGGACAAAGUAAUAUUGGGUAGAAUUGGGAAUGCAGAAACACUCCUUGAACUAUCCAAGAAGAUACCCAGCCCAACUUGCAACCCAAUUGAGGCUUUUAAAAUGCACUUUCUCAUCA
rnacentral:lncRNA from 1 species